rnacentral:rRNA from 1 species
GACGAACGCUGGCGGCGUGCUUAACACAUGCAAGUCGAACGGAAAGGCCCUGCUUUUGUGGGGUGCUCGAGUGGCGAACGGGUGAGUAACACGUGAGUAACCUGCCCUUGACUUUGGGAUAACUUCAGGAAACUGGGGCUAAUACCGGAUAGGAGCUCCUGCUGCAUGGUGGGGGUUGGAGAGUUUCGGCGGUUGGGGAUGGACUCGCGGCUUAUCAGCUUGUUGGUGGGGUAGUGGCUUACCAAGGCUUUGACGGGUAGCCGGCCUGAGAGGGUGACCGGCAACAUUGGGACUGAGAUACGGCCCAGACUCCUACGGGAGGCAGCAGUGGGGAAUAUUGCACAAUGGGCGGAAGCCUGAUGCAGCAACGCCGCGUGCGGGAUGACGGCCUUCGGGUUGUAAACCGCUUUCGCCUGUGACGAAGCGUGAGUGACGGUAAUGGGUAAAGAAGCACCGGCUAACUACGUG